GAUGAACGCUGGCGGCGUGCCUAAUACAUGCAAGUCGAGCGAACAGACGAGGAGCUUGCUCCUCUGACGUUAGCGGCGGACGGGUGAGUAACACGUGGAUAACCUACCUAUAAGACUGGGAUAACUUCGGGAAACCGGAGCUAAUACCGGAUAAUAUAUUGAACCGCAUGGUUCAAUAGUGAAAGACGGUUUUGCUGUCACUUAUAGAUGGAUCCGCGCCGCAUUAGCUAGUUGGUAAGGUAACGGCUUACCAAGGCAACGAUUCGUAGCCGACCUGAGAGGGUGAUCGGCCACACUGGAACUGAGACACGGUCCAGACUCCUACGGGAGGCAGCAGUAGGGAAUCUUCCGCAAUGGGCGAAAGCCUGACGGAGCAACGCCGCGUGAGUGAUGAAGGUCUUCGGAUCGUAAAACUCUGUUAUUAGGGAAGAACAAAUGUGUAAGUAACUAUGCACGUCUUGACGGAACCUAAUCAGAAAGCCACGGCUAACUACGUG
rnacentral:rRNA from 1 species